AAUAUUGGGACAUAUAAAAAAAGACAACUCUGUUCCGCAGUGUAGCUGUUGACAUUAUAGUUGCGCAGGCACUUUGUUGACUCUAGAGAACCUCGGGCCAAUCACACAUCCCUGUGACAGCGACUUUGCAUUCGGAUGUCAUCCAUAUCAACUUUGGAUGACAGUUUCUGCGCCUACCAUGGUGACCAUGGGUAAUGGGUAAUCAGGGUUCUAUUCCCUACAGGGACCCUGAGAAACAGCUACCACAUGCAAAGAAGGCAGCAGGUGCACAAAUGACCCACUCCCGACGCGGGAAGGUAGUGA